AAAUUGAAGAGUUUGAUCAUGGCUCAGAUUGAACGCUGGCGGCAGGCCUAACACAUGCAAGUCGAACGGUAACAGGAAGCAGCUUGCUGCUUCGCUGACGAGUGGCGGACGGGUGAGUAAUGUCUGGGAAACUGCCUGAUGGAGGGGGAUAACUACUGGAAACGGUGGCUAAUACCGCAUAACGUCGCAAGACCAAAGAGGGGGACCUUCGGGCCUCUUGCCAUCAGAUGUGCCCAGAUGGGAUUAGCUWGUUGGUGAGGUAACGGCUCACCAAGGCGACGAUCCCUAGCUGGUCUGAGAGGAUGACCAGCCACACUGGAACUGAGACACGGUCCAGACUCCUACGGGAGGCAGCAGUGGGGAAUAUUGCACAAUGGGCGCAAGCCUGAUGCAGCCAUGCCGCGUGUAUGAAGAAGGCCUUCGGGUUGUAAAGUACUUUCAGCGGGGAGGAAGGUGUUGUGGUUAAUAACCGCAGCAAUUGACGUUACCCGCAGAAGAAGCACCGGCUAACUCCGUGCCAGCAGCCGCGGUAAUACGGAGGGUGCAAGCGUUAAUCGGAAUUACUGGGCGUAAAGCGCACGCAGGCGGUCUGUCAAGUCGGAUGUGAAAUCCCCGGGCUCAACCUGGGAACUGCAUUCGAAACUGGCAGGCUUGAGUCUUGUAGAGGGGGGUAGAAUUCCAGGUGUAGCGGUGAAAUGCGUAGAGAUCUGGAGGAAUACCGGUGGCGAAGGCGGCCCCCUGGACAAAGACUGACGCUCAGGUGCGAAAGCGUGGGGAGCAAACAGGAUUAGAUACCCUGGUAGUCCACGCCGUAAACGAUGUCUACUUGGAGGUUGUGCCCUUGAGGCGUGGCUUCCGGAGCUAACGCGUUAAGUAGACCGCCUGGGGAGUACGGCCGCAAGGUUAAAACUCAAAUGAAUUGACGGGGGCCCGCACAAGCGGUGGAGCAUGUGGUUUAAUUCGAUGCAACGCGAAGAACCUUACCUGGUCUUGACAUCCACAGAACUUUCCAGAGAUGGAUUGGUGCCUUCGGGAACUGUGAGACAGGUGCUGCAUGGCUGUCGUCAGCUCGUGUUGUGAAAUGUUGGGUUAAGUCCCGCAACGAGCGCAACCCUUAUCCUUUGUUGCCAGCGAUUAGGUCGGGAACUCAAAGGAGACUGCCAGUGAUAAACUGGAGGAAGGUGGGGAUGACGUCAAGUCAUCAUGGCCCUUACGACCAGGGCUACACACGUGCUACAAUGGCGCAUACAAAGAGAAGCGACCUCGCGAGAGCAAGCGGACCUCAUAAAGUGCGUCGUAGUCCGGAUUGGAGUCUGCAACUCGACUCCAUGAAGUCGGAAUCGCUAGUAAUCGUGGAUCAGAAUGCCACGGUGAAUACGUUCCCGGGCCUUGUACACACCGCCCGUCACACCAUGGGAGUGGGUUGCAAAAGAAGUAGGUAGCUUAACCUUCGGGAGGGCGCUUACCACUUUGUGAUUCAUGACUGGGGUGAAGUCGUAACAAGGUAACCGUAGGGGAACCUGCGGUUGGAUCACCUCCUUACCUUAAAGAA
rnacentral:rRNA from 1 species